rnacentral:tRNA from 1 species
UAGCUCAGUUGGUUAGAGCAUGGUGUUUGCAACACCAGGGUUGUGGGUUCGAUUCCCAC